AGCUUUGCGCAGUGGCAGUAUCGUAGCCAAUGAGGUUUAUCCGAGGCACGAUUAUUGCUAAUUGAAAACAAUUUAAAAUGGGCAAUUAGACCUAAAUAGAUAUUUUUCAAAAGAAA
rnacentral:snRNA from 1 species